UAUAUUCUGACGCAUCAUCCGUUUUCGCACCAAAAUAGAAAAACAGAGUUUCAAAGCAGAAUUACUACGGCAUUUACGGUAAAAGAAGCGGGACUGAACUUCAACCAAGACGUUUAUCUAAGUUGAUUCACCCAUGCUGGUGUUAACUUCUGCUUCACAUGCACACUGUUGAUAAAUUAAAGACAAAGAAAGAAAAACAAAAGCAAAGUUAGGAGAGUCAAUGAUGGUGACAACUCAAGGGAACUGAGAGAUGGCUCUAGUGAUUUAAAUAGUUUGCAAAGCUCGGGCACGAGGCAGCAAUCGCAACAACAACUCAUUUACAGAUGGAAAGAUCCCACUCUCUGGAAACUUACUCUCCCUGAUGUAUUUUGGCAGAGCGUGUAGUCUGCGGGUGACGGGGGUCGACGGCCACUCCCUGGAGAGACCCCUGCCUACCCCGGGACUGGAGCCUGAUACAGAGGAGGCCUCUGACGAGCUCAGCCCUGGGCUCCACCUCCGUCCUGGGCUCCACCUCCGUCCUGGGCUCCACCUCCGCCCUGGGCUCCAGCUCCACCUCCGCCCUGGACUCCACCUCCACCCUGGGCUCCACCUCCAUGGACCUGAGGUGCAGGCCAGGGAUCCGGCGCAGCCUGGUCCUGCAUCCAGUACCCCAUGCAGGCCCGCCUGUAUGCCCUGUGUCCCUGCAACCCCCAGACUCCCACUGAGUCUGAGCAGGGCAUUCUCAGUCUAGAGGUGGAGAAUAAGGUGAAGUUCAGAGAUAGGCACAAAGAGGCUCAAGAGGAGGAUACGGCAGCCCUGAGGUCUAAAGUCAUAUACAGUAUGAUCCCGAGAGAGACUUCUCCAAUUACGGAAUCACACCUCCUAGGGGGGGUUCUCCUUUAUGGCCCCCCUGGAUCAGGAAAGACUAUGAUUGGAUGAGCCAUAUCCAAUGAGGUCGGGGCACAUAUGACCGUAAUCAACCGUCCAUAAAUCAUUAGCAAAUUUUAUGGUGAAACAGAGGUCAGAUGGAGGCAGAUAUUCACAGGAGCCUCUCAAAGGAGGGCCACUCAGGCCAGCUGCUGGUCCUAGGGGCCAACCAACCGGCCCCACGCCCUGGACUGCGCCGAACAGGUGUAGACCUUCACGUGAAAUGCUUACUUACAAGCCUUUAACCAACAAUGCAGUUCAACAAAGAGUUAAGAAAAUAUUUG